CAUCUCGUAAAAUCAAAAUUACUGCCCUGAUUCACAAUCGACAAGAUGAAAUUGGGUUCUUCUUCAUCUCGUAAGAAAAAAUCUACAAAGACACAACUUGGAGAGGAUGUAUUGCUUGAAAUAUUUACUUUACUACCUUUCAAUUCGAUCUUUAAAUUCAGGUGCGUCUCAAGGAGAUGGGCUUCUCUUCUAUCGGACUGUCGUUUCAUGAACAAAUGGAGUCAGGUCAAUGGCUCUCAAUCUUUCCCGUGGCUCGUUUAUCACUCUAUGGAAUUUGGGAUUUCAUAUUCAAAAUCAUCAGUGAAUUCAGAACUCAUAUCAGGUAAUCAACAUGGGUUUUCCUUUAAGUUUUUGAAUCCAAACCCCAAUUUAGAAAACAACAACAGAAUAGACCUGUUAGGUUGUAGUAACGGCUUCGUUUUUAUGUUGUUCAUCAAGUAAUCUGAAAUCAAAUUCCAGACCAAAAGAGUAUUUUGUUUGUAAUCCGCUUACAGAACAAUGGGUUUCACUUCCUCCAACUCCUACUAUGUCCACCACCACCACCAUUGCUGCUUUUACUAGUGAGUCUAUUUCAUCCAAUACUUGUUAUAAGGUUGUGCUUAUACCAAUGUCUGGUAAGAAGAAAUUGAGGAAAUUGAACAUUCAAGUUUUCUCUUCUGAUGUGGGUAAAUGGAAUGUCUAUCAAGUAUCACACCCUGAGCCUAGGGGUUAUUUCUCUGACUUCAAGAGUUUAGUUGUCAUAAAUGGACAAAUGUAUUGGAUUGACAAGAAAGAUAUACUAUCUUGCAAUCUAAACAAUAACAAUAGCAUUCAAACCAGUGGCCAACAAUGCAGGUUGAUAAACUACCCUGACUUCGAGUCAGAAGAUUAUGAUGAUGAAACCAACAUUUUUUGUCUAAAGGAGUACAAAGGUUCGCUAUGUUUUGUUACAAUUUCGACAAGCCCGAAGUAUUUGUUUGUCUCGGUGUUUAAGGAGGAUUGGGAGUUGCUGCACGAGGAUAUUGAUUUGCUUGAGUUCGCAGCGGAAAUGUUUAGAAGAUGCAAUAAGGAGGAGUAUGAAGGUUUAACUGAAGAUGAAAGUGAAAGUCAAAAUAACUAUUGCGACAAAGAAAAUGGGGCUAUUGAAGACGUUAAGGUUAUAGGUUUUAGUCCGGUGGACGCAAAUGUCAUUUUGUUCGGUUUUAAUGAUGGAGUAUGGGCCUACAACAUUGAAAAUACAACAUCCGAAGAUCUUUCAUGGAUACGAUGCAUACAGUUGGAACUCGUUAUUGUGUCUACAACCCCUUUACUCUAAAGGCGAUGACAACAAUACUUCCAUCACAUUCGUGGAAAAACACAUCAGUUAUAAUGGAUCAACAAGGCCAAUGACAGUCCUCAGCUUUGCAAGUGCAAGUCAAAUGUCAUACGGAGCAGCUCAAUAUCCAGCCAACCAAAUAAUAUCCUCUUGCAGGCUCUAUUCACUCUCCUGGCCAGACAGCCAGAUUCUCUUCCUCCCAAGCCCAGCUUGUUCAUCACCAACUUGCUUAUCAGCAGACCCACCAGCAGCGGUAACUUUUUUUGUAACAACUCCAGACCUUUACAAGCCAGUACCCAAGAAAUUGAACACAAAGCUAACUUCAAGAACCACAGGCUUCCAUUAGCAAGGAUUAAAAAAAUUAUGAAAGCAGAUGAAAAUGUAAAGAUGAUUGCAGCAGAGACUCCAGAUGAAGUUAUAGCAAACACGUCAGUUAUUUGGCACUUGGUCAUGCUUAGCGAUGUGGUGUACGCGUACCAAUCACAUGGGUAACCAUUCUUACAGAAUUUGGGUGUAUGCCUACCAAUCACAUGAGUCUACUGUUGACAUUAUUUUUUCUUGGUAAACUUUUUAUCGUUUAGUUUAAACAUCGGAUUAAUCUUUCUUAUAAUUGAUUGUGUUGCUCCAGAUAGCAUUCACUGAAUUAGUAUAUCCAUGUUCACUCUCUGCAUAUAUUGGACAAGCUGGGUAUCUAUCCAAGUAUCCAAAAUAAUGUGUCUGAUGCAUUUUACAUUUCUACUUCUGAAACACGUAUACUUUGCAUAUAGCUGUACUAGCAUCAAUCACUACUAGUAAUGAUAUCUGCAAAUUUUCGGUCGUGAAACAGUGUGGCUAUGAGUUGCUUCUUUGGGGUUCGAGUCCACACACAUGAAGGCCAAGUCCACAUUCCAGAAACAAACUUAUUGCUGAUGUUGGCAUGUGUUUUGGUUAUUAUUGGGGGUUCAAAGAAACUACGGGAACGCUAUAGUUAGUCUAUUUAUAUCCCCGUGUUGUCUGUACAGUGGAAGUUAAUAAGUAAUUAUGGUACCUACACUA